UACGGAGGGUGCAAGCGUUGCUCGGAUUUAUUGGGCGUAAAGGGUAUGUAGGUGGUUUUAUUUGUCUAGGGUGAAAUCCUUGAGCUUAACUCAAGAAGUGCCCUAGAAACGGUAAGACUAGAGUCCUGGAGAGGGUCGUGGAAUUCCCGGUGUAGCGGUGAAAUGCGUAGAGAUCGGGAGGAACACCAGAGGCGAAGGCGACGAGCUGGACAGGCACUGACACUAAACUACGAAAGCGUGGGGAGCAAACAGG
rnacentral:rRNA from 1 species